rnacentral:pre_miRNA from 1 species
GACGUCCCCGUCCUCGAACUGUUGUGGCCACCGCACCUUCAUCUCGUGCAGAGUCAGCGACACCAAUUGAGGUGAGGAACAAU